rnacentral:rRNA from 1 species
GAUGAACGCUGGCGGCGUGCCUAAUACAUGCAAGUCGAGCGAACAGAUGAGGAGCUUGCUCCUCUGACGUUAGCGGCGGACGGGUGAGUAACACGUGGAUAACCUAUCUAUAAGACUGGGAUAACUUCGGGAAACCGGAGCUAAUACCGGAUAAUAUAUUGAACCGCAUGGUUCAAUAGUGAAAGACGGUUUUGCUGUCACUUAUAGAUGGAUCCGCGCCGCAUUAGCUAGUUGGUAAGGUAACGGCUUACCAAGGCAACGAUGCGUAGCCGACCUGAGAGGGUGAUCGGCCACACUGGAACUGAGACACGGUCCAGACUCCUACGGGAGGCAGCAGUAGGGAAUCUUCCGCAAUGGGCGAAAGCCUGACGGAGCAACGCCGCGUGAGUGAUGAAGGUCUUCGGAUCGUAAAACUCUGUUAUUAGGGAAGAACAAAUGUGUAAGUAACUAUGCACGUCUUGACGGUACCUAAUCAGAAAGCCACGGCUAACUACGU